GACGAACGCUGGCGGCGUGCUUAACACAUGCAAGUCGAACGGCAAGGCCCUGCUUGUGUGGGGUGCUCGAGUGGCGAACGGGUGCGUAACACGUGAGUAACCUGCCCUUGACUUUGGGAUAACUUCAGGAAACUGGGGCUAAUACCGGAUAGGAGAUCCUGCUGCAUGGUGGGGGUUGGAAAGUUUCGGCGGUUGGGGAUGGACGCGCGGCUAAUCAGCUUGUUGGUGGGGGAGUGGCUUACCAAGGCUUUGACGGGUAGCCGGCCUGAGAGGGUGACCGGCGACAUUGGGACUGAGAUACGGCGCAGACUCCUACGGGAGGCAGCAGUGGGGAAUAUUGCACAAUGGGCGGACGCCUGUGGCAGCAACGCCGCGUGCGGGAUGACGGCCUUCGGGUUGUAAACCGCUUUCGCCUGUGACGAAGCGGGUGUGACGGUAAUGGGUAAAGAAGCACCGGCUAACUACGUG
rnacentral:rRNA from 1 species